CUUAUCUCUGUGUGUCCAUUUAGGUUUUGUAUCACAUAAAAGGUGUUUCCAUUUAGGCUGUGUGUCCAUUUAGGUUUUGUAUCACAUACAAGUGUCUAUAGGCGUGUUUUUUUGGUAAAACUAUCCGCAGUAGGAAAAAAGAAGAAUAUCGUUUUUUAUUGUUAAUGGAUGAAAUACAGCGAGAACAACGAAGUGAAAAAGAACCAUAAGGUAAAGUUUAAGAGAUAAUUCAAAUCCAUUCGAACUACCUCAGCCACUAUUCCAUCGCUGUAUAGAGUAUGCAAACCAUUGUUGUGAUUGAUGCCGUUGAUCUCGCUGAAGACAUUGGAGAUCUAGCUAUUCAAAGUGCAGCAGUGGCUGCGACUGAAGCUCU